UCGAGAAUUUUUCUCAAUGGGGGAAACCCUGAAGGAGCGACGCCGCGUGGAGGAUGAAGGUCUUCGGAUUGUAAACUCCUGUCAUUUGAGAACAAGUGACUUCCGGUAACUACGGAGGUUUUGAUAGUAUCAGAAGAGGAAGAGACGGCUAACUCUGUGCCAGCAGCCGCGGUAAUACAGAGGUCUCAAGCGUUGUUCGGAUUCAUUGGGCGUAAAGGGUGCGUAGGCGGUCGGGUAAGUCGGAUGUGAAAUCCUGGGGCUCAACCUCAGAACUGCAUUCGAUACUGCUCGGCUAGAGUAUUGGAGAGGAGAGUGGAAUUCACGGUGUAGCAGUGAAAUGCGUAGAUAUCGUGAGGAAGACCAGCGGCGAAGGCGGCUCUCUGGACAAUUACUGACGCUGAUGCACGAAGGCCAGGGGAGCAAACGG
rnacentral:rRNA from 1 species